CCUACGGGCGGCUGCAGCAAGGAAUUUUCGGCAAUGGAGGCAACUCUGACCGAGCAACGCCGCGUGGGUGAGGAAGUCUUUAGGGAUGUAAAACCCUUUUCUCUUUGAAGAAGGAAAGACGGUAGAAGAGGAAUAAGCACCGGCAAACUACGUGCCAGCAGCCGCGGUAAUACGUAGGGUGCGAGCGUUGUCCGGAAUUACUGGGCGUAAAGGGCGUGCAGGCGGUCUGAUAAGUCAGGUGUGAAAGGUCUCGGCUAAACCGAGAAAGGUCACUU
rnacentral:rRNA from 1 species